GAGAGAGGACACAGGUAGGCAUGAGGAUGUGUGCCAGGGGCUUGGCGGGCUGCCCAACUGCCACCCAAGGUAACUCUUCUUGGCACUAAGGAAAGGCUUGAGGAGAUCCUGGAACCUCUGCCCCCUCUGCUGCUAGCAGAGAGGCCCAGCUGAUCGUGGCAGUUUUCAAGUAAGCCUGGACAGUACCUCAAAAAUCCUAAACUGUAGCCACCACCUACACUCCAGGGAUGACACUCAACAUACUCUUGGAAACCACUCUAAAGUCACGCUACAGCCCAGACCAACACUGGGGAGGACAGCAAUAAUGAAAAUAAUGACCAGCACAUUCUGGGAAGAAAACAGGAUGCACACCCUUGCUGCUCCAACUCCACAGUCCUGCUGCCCUGCCAACUGAGAGGAAAAAACGAGAGCGUAGGGAGGGGACACACAGGGACAAAGUGGUCAUCAUCUGCAGACCAUAUGAUCAUCUACGUAAUAAUUCCAACAAACCAGAACCAGUAACGGAUGAGAAAGAAGUACAGAAAAGCCCACACAACAACAACAAGCUACUAGCUACCCAGGAAUUAAUCAAGCAAAGACAACAGGAGACCUCAGAGCAAAAAAUGUGUACGUUCUGCCAGACGGCUCAAGGGAAAAACCUGAAUAAAGGAGAAAAUGUACCAAAUUCACCAUAGGAUGACUAAGCACUAUAAAAGGCCAAUUUGCCCAAGCUUACUUAAUAAGUUACAAUUAUAACAGAAAUGCCAGCAGAAUUUUUUUUUUAAAGGAAUUUGACCAAAGAAAAAGAAUCCUUCUAGAAUAAAUGGAGAAAUAGAGGUCCAUCUAUAAGCAGGUCAGCCUGACACACUCUUUUCAGGCUGUGAGGAUGUGCCAGGACCGUGGAUGAGUGGGACCAGUGCCCAGGACAGGGCUCGCAGACGCCCCACACUACAGGAGCCCAUCGGACGCCACAGGCGCUAUCACACAGCAGCAUGGGAGGCCAGGGCUGCUUCAUGGAUGGUGCUAGAAAACUCACUCACUGUAAGAAAAAUCAAUCCCCACAGUUGCCUCAUGUCAUAAACAAAGGACAAUUAAAGACCCAGGUGUGAAAGAUAAAACUCUAGCUCUAACAAAAGAAAAUAUUGGGGAGAAUACCUUUGUGACCCCAAAGUGCAAAAAAGUUAUAAAACACUACUCUAAAAACAAAGACCAUAAAGCACACAACAUAAGGUUAACAACAGUGACAAAGAGAUUUCAACCUCACCAAAGCGGAAUGGUUUCUACCGGAUAGGAGAGAACACAAAGCUGACACGGUAACAGGUCACCAACGACAAGAGAGGGAUGAAUCCAGAAUCUGGAGCAUUCUACAAACCAGCAAGGCAAAGACAAGACAUGGAGAAAACCUACAGAACAUGAACAGCAAGUUCUCUGAAGGGGAAAAAGACUGGCCAAGGCCACUACGAAGCAGAUUGGGCCCAUAUGCAAUCAGGAUCCCCGCGAUCCUGCUCUCUUCUCUGGGGCUCCGCACCCCAAGCAGGCGCCCAGACGUUGACCCAAGGACAGACGCUAGACACACGUCACCAGCAUGGGUGCUUCUGGAAAAGGAACAUACACGCACCAAAGGAAUCAAUGAGGAAAAUACAGCAAAACGAGAAAGGGAUCUCAUUACAGACAGUGGAUGGCCAAGGCCACGGAGUCUGCUAUACUGCUCGGCGGGCGUGAGUGCAAGGAUGAGGCUGGACCCAGAGAUGUCCCAGAGGGUCCCAGAAGAGGGCAGGAGGGAAGGAGGCACUAGUUGGGAGGACGCCAGGGCUGCUCUGGCCUCCCAGGGUGGGGAAAAAUGGGGAUCAGCUGGAGAAGCAAGAGAGGCCAGGUCAGGGGAGAAGCCAGCCCAGGUGGGCAGCUACACAUGGAAGACAGGUUCGCCCCAGCACCAUGGUGAGCACCAGGGCGAAGGCCCUCAGAACUGCUGCUUCUGCAACACUGCCCACCUCAUGACUAUGAUGCUUAUACACGCACCGAAGCAUUGACCAUGCCUCAAUAAGAUGUCACAUGAACUUAAACAAACUGAGGAGAGGGUAAGAAUAGCGGUUGUGAAUGGAGGAUGCUUUCUCUUCCUGUUUUUCAGAAUUUCUCAGUUUGUAUUUAAUGAGCACUUCUUGGCUUGGGGUUUGAAAA